GAUCCUUACCAAGGCAGUGAUGGUAUAUGCCUUCUCUCAAAGUAUGUAGUAUUUGUGGUAUGAGGCAUAGUGCUAUUGCCUUCUCUCUCAUCCUACUCUAAUAAGGCUUUGAUAUCUGGAGCUCAUAGGUGGGAGAUAAAGUAUACAUACUUACAAGACAUUUUAUUGCAUAGUCAAACCAUGGAUCCAGAGAAACAAGUCAAUAUCAAGAUGUGCAUGUGUGGCGAAUGAAUGGUGUAUGGUGAAGAUGUACAUACCUUUCUUGCACUUUGAAGCUUUUUGAAGAGAAUGAGAUGCUCUAUAUUUUCUUUUUCUUUUCUCUCAGGUGGGUAUCUUAUACUCCUAAUUCUACUGUCGGACACUUGUCCAUUUUUACCUCUCGUCUCACUUUUUAUUUUCUUCGAGGUUCCAGACACUUGCCCCUUUUUAUUUCCUCGUAUUUUCCUUUUUUUCAGAGCACUCACCCUCUUAGAAUAAUGUAGCAAGUGGUAGUAACCAAAAUAUCUCGAGCAUUUAUUUCAUAGAGAAUAACAGGGAUAGGAUAAUGUUUUUGGCUAUUCUCUCUUGGAUAGGAGUAGAAUAAUUUUGGGUGAAUCUAGAGAUGGAAAUGAGUGGAUGUAUGUGGAUGCGUACUUCCAGAGUAGAAGCAGCAUAUAUGGGUGAACGUGCAAGUGAAUCUUAAUUUUAACCGCAUGACAAACUCCUUAGAGUCUACAUAGCUUGACCACACUCAAUGCUCAUAGGCAGUA
rnacentral:lncRNA from 1 species